UACUUUGUCAAAGUGUUGAUCUUCUGCAGAUCAAAAGUAUGGAUCUUAAUUUAGAUGAGAAUGAGAUUCUAAAGGCUCGGAUCAAACAACUUGAACUUGAGCGUAAUGAACUACAGAAAGAUAUUGAACAGUUGUGCAUGCAACAAGGUGGACCUAGCAUUCUUGGUGUGGCUACUCGGAUGCAUUUCCAGAGGACAGCUAGCUUGGAGCAGGAGUUAGAGAGCUUAAAACUGAAGUUGGCUGCUUGCACAAGAGAGAAAAACAAU